rnacentral:misc_RNA from 1 species
GGGAAUCAUCGAAUUUUUGAAAGAAAAGGGAGAGGGAGGGAAGGAAGGGAAGUAUGCCUGUUUGAGGGUCAGUAUUAACAAAAAAUCGGUUUGGUUGCACAUUGUCAUGUUUCCGGAGUUUGGGCUAUCUUAACUUUUUUGGUUAAGGGGCUUAAAAUUGACCUUUUUUGCGCAUUUUUAGACGUACAUAAAUUUUUUUUUAUUCGUCUAUGGAACUGUAACAAAUCUUAUCAGACGCGCGGAGAUGA